rnacentral:lncRNA from 1 species
CCUGGUGCUCGACUUCCUUGUAUUUGGGAAAGUGUGGUGGUGGGUGCGCGCUCGCGGCGGAGGGUAAACAUUCGACAGUCCCCGCUCUGAGAGGGAGGGACAGAGAGCGAACUGUCAGAUCCGAGCGGAGCGGGCGGGCGAGAGAGGGAGGGAGAGGGAAAGAGAGAGGGAGAGCGCGCAAACCAGGGCGCAGAGCGAGCUCCCGCGGCAACUCGGCUCCAGCACGGCCAGCGCCAGCGCCGCCGUCGGUGCACCCUCGGAGCCGUGCAUCCUGCCCACUGGAGUUGGUUGUGUAUCAAGGAUCCCCUAUAUGCACACACACACCUCCACCUCCACCAAUGCACUCUUCUUCCUCCUCCUCCUCCAGACCUCUGCUGGGAAAAAAAUAAAACACCAACCCCAACCUUCAGCAGCAAGAGGCAACCAAGAGCUCGGGCAAUAGCAACUUCAGAGAAAUGCACCAUCGCAAGAAGUUUUCCUAGGACAGAACAAAACUUGAAACGCGAGGACCAGAGGGGGAGAGCAGGAGCCAGCCUCUCCUCUCGGCACGCGAGCAGCCAGCAUCACCACGCCUUCAAGGACGAAAAAAGUUUUACUACUCUAAGGGGAGACGAGUGAGCUGCGUUCCUGAGAAGGAGGCGUCAAGGAGCGGCUGGUCGCUGGUCGUCCACGGUUCGGUGAAGAAGAAAGGAGCGGCUUCUUUCUUUGUUGUCCCCCGUGAAAUCUUCACUUAGCAGGUGGACCGAGCCCCGCGCCCGGGCAGGGUCCGCGCUCGCCCGAGGACAGGAGGAGGAGCGCGAGCCGGCGCGCCCGGCCCGGAGCCUCAGCGCAGGCCCGCGCCCCGCCCGGCGAGCCCCACUGGAGCGAGCCGACCGCGCCGGGGCUGGGGGGCGGCCACGACCCCCCCUGAGGGGGGAGGCCACGGAGCGCGCCUCGAGAAGCGAGCCCCCCUCCCCGGAGCGCGGCUCCUGGUGCUGCUGCUGCUGCUGCUGACCAAGGCCGGCCGGCGACCCCCGCGCCCUGCCCAGCGGCCUUGCAGCUGCAGCCGGCGGCCGCGGCGGCGGCGGCGGCGGGGGCGGAGGCGGCGGCGGCGG